rnacentral:rRNA from 1 species
AGAGUUUGAUCAUGGCUCAGGACGAACGCUGGCGGCGUGCCUAAUACAUGCAAGUCGAGCGGACAGAUGGGAGCUUGCUCCCUGAUGUUAGCGGCGGACGGGUGAGUAACACGUGGGUAACCUGCCUGUAAGACUGGGAUAACUCCGGGAAACCGGGGCUAAUACCGGAUGGUUGUUUGAACCGCAUGGUUCAAACAUAAAAGGUGGCUUCGGCUACCACUUACAGAUGGACCCGCGGCGCAUUAGCUAGUUGGUGAGGUAACGGCUCACCAAGGCGACGAUGCGUAGCCGACCUGAGAGGGUGAUCGGCCACACUGGGACUGAGACACGGCCCAGACUCCUACGGGAGGCAGCAGUAGGGAAUCUUCCGCAAUGGACGAAAGUCUGACGGAGCAACGCCGCGUGAGUGAUGAAGGUUUUCGGAUCGUAAAGCUCUGUUGUUAGGGAAGAACAAGUACCGUUCGAAUAGGGCGGUACCUUGACGGUACCUAACCAGAAAGCCACGGCUAACUACGUGCCAGCAGCCGCGGUAAUACGUAGGUGGCAAGCGUUGUCCGGAAUUAUUGGGCGUAAAGGGCUCGCAGGCGGUUUCUUAAGUCUGAUGUGAAAGCCCCCGGCUCAACCGGGGAGGGUCAUUGGAAACUGGGGAACUUGAGUGCAGAAGAGGAGAGUGGAAUUCCACGUGUAGCGGUGAAAUGCGUAGAGAUGUGGAGGAACACCAGUGGCGAAGGCGACUCUCUGGUCUGUAACUGACGCUGAGGAGCGAAAGCGUGGGGAGCGAACAGGAUUAGAUACCCUGGUAGUCCACGCCGUAAACGAUGAGUGCUAAGUGUUAGGGGGUUUCCG